rnacentral:rRNA from 1 species
UACGUAGGGUGCAAGCGUUAAUCGGAAUUACUGGGCGUAAAGCGUGCGCAGGCGGCUAUGCAAGACAGAUGUGAAAUCCCCGGGCUCAACCUGGGAACUGCAUUUGUGACUGCAUGGCUAGAGUACGGCAGAGGGGGAUGGAAUUCCGCGUGUAGCAGUGAAAUGCGUAGAUAUGCGGAGGAACACCGAUGGCGAAUGCAAUCCCCUGGGCCUGUACUGACGCUCAUGCACGAAAGCGUGGGGAGCAAACAGG